rnacentral:rRNA from 1 species
AGCUCCAGUAGCGUAUAUUAAAGUUGUUGCAGUUAAAAAGCUCGUAGUUGGAUUUCUGCUUGUAGCGUUGGGCCCGCCCGGGUUACCGGUGUGUGUGCCUGUUCGCUCCUUGCAUCCUUCUAGAAAACGGCUCUCUCCUUCAUUGGCUGUGGAGUCGCAAUCUAGAUCUUUUACUUUGAAAAAAUUAGAGUGUUUAAAGCAGGCUUGUGCUAUGAAUACAUUAGCAUGGAAUAAUAAUUUAGGACUUUAGUUCUAUUUUGUUGGUUUCUAGAACUGAAGUAAUGAUUGAUAGGGAUAGUUGGGGGUGCUAGUAUUCAGCGGCCAGAGGUGAAAUUCUUAGAUUCGCUGAAGACUAACUUAUGCGAAAGCAUUCACCAAGGAUGUCUUCUUUA